rnacentral:rRNA from 1 species
GACGAACGCUGGCGGCGUGCUUAACACAUGCAAGUCGAACGGAAAGGCCCUGCUUUUGUGGGGUGCUCGAGUGGCGAACGGGUGCGUAACACGUGAGUAACCUGCCCUUGACUUUGGGAUAACUUCAGGAAACUGGGGCUAAUACCGGAUCGGAGCUCCUGCUGCAUGGUGGGGGUUGGAAAGUUUCGGCGGUUGGGGAUGGACUCGCGGCUUAUCGGCUUGUUGGUUGGGUAGUGGCUUACCCAGGCUUUGACGGGUAGCCAGCCUGAGAGGGUGACCGGCGACAAUGGUACUGCGAGACGGCCCAGACUCGUACGGGAGGCAGCAGGGGCGAAUCUUGCACAAUGGGCGGAAGCGUGAUGCAGCAACGCCGCGUGCGGGAUGACGGCUUUCGGGUUGUAAACCGCUUUCGCCUGUGACGAAGCGGGAGUGACGGUAAUGGGUAAAGAAGCACCGGCUAACUACGUG